rnacentral:rRNA from 1 species
AUGGCCACGAAGUUCUACAACAAGGUCAAGGGCCUUGCUGACACGUUAGCCUCCAUCGGACAGCCGCUCACCGACUCCGAGUUCAACUCCUUUAUUGUCAAUGGGCUUGACGAGGAGUAUGAUGCUUUGGUCGAGAUUAUCAACGAGCGGGGCAACUCGAAUCCCAUGAUGGCACAUGAGGUCUAUUCUCGCCUCCUCCUCAUCGAACAACGUGUCGAGGCGCGCCGCUCCAAGGGCAGCCACGGCCCCCUCUCCGCGAACGCCGCCACCAAGGGUGGCCGCAACUCGUCUAAGGCGCCACCCCCUGCAUCGUCCUCGUCCCUCUCGCCCCCCUCCCCCGUCCACAACUCUACCAGGGGCUGGUGGUCAGCGUGUGUGUCAACUUUGUGGCAUUGA